GAUGAACGCUGGCGGCGUGCCUAAUACAUGCAAGUCGAGCGAAGAGGGGAAGGGUGAGUAAAACGUGGAUAACCUCCUAUAAGACUGGGAAAAACUCGGGAAACCGGAGACUAAACGGCAACUUAGCGAUGGAGGCGCGCUCCAUUAGCUAGUUGGUAAGUUAACGGCUUACCAAGGCAAUGAUGCAUAGCAGACCUGAGAGGAUGAUCGGCCACACGGGACCUGAGCCACGGUCCAGACUCCUACGGGAGGCAGCAGUGGGGAUUCUUCCGCAAUGGGCGAAAGCCUGACGGAGCAACGCCGCGGGAGUGAUGAAGGUCUUCGGUUCGUAAACCUCUGUUAUUAGGGAAGCGGUGCCUAAUCAGAAAGCCACGGCUAACUACGUGCCAGCAGCCGCGGUAAUUC
rnacentral:rRNA from 1 species